AGAACAAAAAUCCAUAGAGGACUCAAAAUUUGAAUGGGGUUCCUAUGAGUCAGGCGUCUCGUAUUACACAUGUUCCCCUCUCUAAAACCCAUCUCAAAGAUGGAUUUUUUUAUCUAAAUUGUUUAGAAUUCAUGAUCUAAGUCAAGGUGGUCAUGAAUAUGAAAAAUAAAAGAAGGUUUUUUAGAAUUGAAAAUGUAAUUUUUUGGAAUUUUUUUACUCCAUCCAUAUGUUAUUUAUAUCUGGUGGACUUUACAGAAUGUCCAUCUUUAAGAUGGAUGUUCGUGGGUUA
rnacentral:lncRNA from 1 species